CUGCUGGGAUGGGGGGCGCCAAAUCCACAGAACGCCACCCUCGCUGGAUGUGGCCACCCCAUGCUGUAAGCCUCCGUAUGCAACAUCAGUAGUCUGAAUAUUCAUCAGGUAGAAAAAAGGCAAAUGCAGAGGAGUUUAGACUUACCUACCAACACCAUGGUCUACAUACCCAAUUGAUUAACUAUCUCAAUCAGCAUACACCCAAAUUAAUUAAUUGGAUUCUAUUCGUUGCGGAAAGGGAAAUGAACAAGAACAAGUCAACUGCUCCAUCUGUGUUCUGCCU
rnacentral:lncRNA from 1 species